CAGUGCCAUGCCAUACCAUGUGCAUUCCCUGCUUGGGAACGAGCUCUGCAUUGUUCCCUGCUGUGAGGUGUAGACCUGUCCUGAGUGAGUUGAUCAAGAUCAUAUGGGAAGACUCUGGCAGAGCAGACUUAAUGUGAGUUUUCUCUGAAGCCAUGAGACAGCCUUCUUUUGUUUCUAGGCUGCAUAAAUUGUAAGUGAAUGGAAAUUCUGUGCAUCUGGAAAGAUGUCUUUGUGAUGUGUUUAGGAAAAUGUGUUAAUGCCUAUAAACAAGAUGAAGCUUGAGGACUGGAAAGAAUUACUUGGAAUGGGACUAUUUAUGCUAAGGAAAUGCUUAGAUUGUUUUUUACUGUUGGAAGCCUUGCUGGCUCAGCCUUCCAUCUUGCUUUUAUUGAAGUUUCAACAGGGAUGCAUUGAUUGGAUCUGUUAUGUCAUAAGCCAAAAUUAAUUGUCAUACAUUGUGGAGUUUAUUAAAGCAAUAUAUUGCUUUAUAUAUAUAUUAUAUUUAUAUAUAUAAUAUAUAUGACUAGUAAGUCAUAUAUUUCUUUUGAAAACCGAGGUGGUUCAGAAAUUGUACAUUCUUGUUAGUGUUAAUCUCCUGGCUAUUGAUAUGUUGUUUUCCCAUAGUUACUAAUUUAUUCGUAGUCUUGUUAUACUAAACUUAUAAACUGCCAAGAAUCUGAAGAUGGUGUUACUUUCUGGUGCUGUCUGUGGUGUGGAAGCACUUACUUGCACAGUGUUUAACAUUCACUGCAACAUUCUCUACUAUCUUGACAGACAUUGGGAAAUGUGAGGCAAAAGGAAUGUGAGUGGAUGCAGCUUCAGUUGGUUCUGAUGAUUCUGAUUCAAAGUGUUCAAAACUCUUUGGAAAGUGUUGCAGGAGUCACAGCAUUACUUUCUUCAAACUGAACCUCUGCAAACUCUUCAGGCAUGUCAGGCCUGAGUCUUUUGGUGAAUUAAAUCAUCUUUGAUGAAUCUUGCCUGGCCCAGCUGAGAAGCCUUGAUGAUGACUUAGGCCACUUCUACAAAGCACCAUGGCAGCUCUUUUCUUUUCGAAUGAAAAAUACUAAUUUUUCACAGGAAGCAGAAAGAGGAAGAGACUGCAGUGAUGGAGUUUAGCUAUCCAUCAUGGUGAAACUGUCAGAGGAGCUGAGCAUGGUUCCUUGGCAUGCUUCCUAGAGGAAAGUGUUUCACCAGUCAAAAGCAGAGGUCACUGCUGCGGCUCACCCUGCAUGGCAGUGAGCGCCCUGUGGCUGGGUGAGUGCUGAAAAACAUGAUCUCCCACAGGAGUGUGGUAAGCAUCCUGCAAUUGUGAGAUAGCAGGGGUCAGCCAAAAUUUACUUGCACGUUAUUCUUUCUUUUUUCCUGUCAUUGCUCUUAACUACGCAAACUGUGAGUAGACUGUUCAAAAAGACUAAGGAGAAACUGAUUUUAGGUCUUUUGUAGAAAGCUGCUUGAACUCACUGAACUGUUUAAAACAGUAUAGGCCAUAUUCUUGUGCAAUUUUUUUUUUUUUACAAGUACCUUGACAAGCACAUUGCUAGGUACAAGCACAAUCCUCUGAGAAGC
ensembl:lncRNA